rnacentral:rRNA from 1 species
UACGUAGGGGGCAAGCGUUGUCCGGAAUCAUUGGGCGUAAAGCGCGUGUAGGCGGCCCGGUAAGUCCGCUGUGAAAGUCGGGGGCUCAACCCUCGAAUGCCGGUGGAUACUGUCGGGCUUGAGUACGGAAGAGGCGAGUGGAAUUCCUGGUGUAGCGGUGAAAUGCGCAGAUAUCAGGAGGAACACCAAUUGCGAAGGCAGCUCGCUGGGACGUUACUGACGCUGAGACGCGAAAGCGUGGGGAGCAAACAGG